AUUGAACGCUGGCGGCAGUCCUAACACAUGCAAGUCGGGCGAGCGGAGGACGGGUGAGGAAUGUAUGGGGAUCUGCCUGCUGGAGGGGGAUAACUACUGGAAACGGUAGCUAAUACCGCAUACCAUCAUCUGAACCCAUAUGGGAUUAGCUUGUCUGUAGGGGAACGGGUUACCGAGGCGGCGAUCCCUCGCGGGUCUGUGAGGAUGAUCAGCCACCUGGGGAGUGAGACAGGGCCCAGACUCCUACGGGAGGCAGCAGUGGGGAAGAGUGCACAAUGGGCGAAAGCAUGAUGCAGCCAUGCCGCGUGUAUGAAGAAGGCCUUCGGGUUGUAAAGUACUUUCAGUCGGGAGGCGUUACCGACAGAAGAAGCACCGGCUAACUCCGUGCCAGCCGCCGCGGUAAUAC
rnacentral:rRNA from 1 species